AAUUCUGUGUGUGUAUUAUGUUUAGAAUGUAGCAGAAACUUUACAUAUAAAUUUAAGUCAACAUUACAGAAUUGAGCACACCAAAUAUUUAAAGUUUGGCACACCUCGUGUUGCAAAACACUAAAGUAAACUUCUGUUUUGUAAUUGUGUGAGGAAUAUGUGUAGUUUGAGUUGGUUUUGGAGACUACUGAAUUAUGUGAGCACAAAAAAAAUAUGUUUGCAGCUGUUUCUUGAAAGAAGGUUGGGAUCAGCAUCCUUCUCCAGAAGGAACUGGACACAAGACAGAUGUUUGCGGCCUACAGCCAAAAUCAGCGGAGUCUGGUUCUUGAGAGUGCGAAUGUUAAUGGUCUGCGGUUCAGCUAAAGCAAAACCUUCAGACAUUCAACAUGGCCGUAAUAUGCAGUCUCGUGGAGAGAUUCCACUGUAACCCGCAGGAAUCCAUUGUGUCUUGUCCAGGCGACUACCUGAUUAUUGUCUUUGCUGAAGUAAUGGUUUUGAGCAUCUCUGUUGAUUUUUGUACACUU